rnacentral:rRNA from 1 species
AAUCAACGCUGGCGGCGUGCCUAACACAUGCAAGUCGCACGAGAAAGGGUAGCAAUACCUGAGUAAAGUGGCGCACGGGUGAGUAACACGUGACUAAUCUACCCUCGAGUGGGGAAUAACUGAGAGAAAUCUUAGCUAAUACCGCAUAACACUUACGAGUCAAAGCAGCAAUGCGCUUGGGGGAGGAGGUCGCGGCCGAUUAGCUAGUUGGCGGGGUAAUGGCCCACCAAGGCGAUGAUCGGUAUCCGGCCUGAGAGGGCGCACGGACACACUGGAACUGAAACACGGUCCAGACUCCUACGGGAGGCAGCAGUGGGGAAUUUUGCGCAAUGGGGGAAACCCUGACGCAGCAACGCCGCGUGGAGGAUGAAGUAUCUUGGUACGUAAACUCCUUUCGAUUGGGAAGAUAANGACGGUACCAAUAGAAGAAGCCCCGGCUAACUUCGUGCCAGCCGCCGCCGUAAC